rnacentral:rRNA from 1 species
UUUUAUUAUUAGUUUAGAUUUAUUAAUUUUUAGAUAAUUUAUUAAUAUAUUAAAUAAAAUAUUGGUUUAUAAGUAAAAAUGAUUAAAUUAGUAUAAUUUUUUGUUAAGUUAAUUAUAAUUUUUAGAUAAAAUUAAGGAAUUCGGCAAAUUUAUUUUCUGCCUGUUUAUUAAAAACAUGUCUUUUUGUAAUUAUUUAAAGUCGAGCCUGCCCUAUGAUUAUUUAAAUGGCCGCGGUAUUUUGACCGUGCAAAGGUAGCAUAAUAAUUAGUUUCUUAAUUAGAAGCUGGUAUGAAUGGUUUGACAAGAAAAUUUCUGUCUCAAUUUUAAUAUUAGAAUUUAACUUUUUAGUUAAAAGGCUUAAAUUAUUUUAAAAGACGAGAAGACCCUAUAGAAUUUUAUAUAUAUUUUAUUUAAAAUUUUAUGGAUUAUUUAUUUUUAAUUAAAUUAUUUAUUUUGUUGGGGUGAUGGAAAAAUUUAAUGAACUUUUUCUUACUUUAUUCAUUGAUUUAUGA